UCCUAUAUAGCUCAGUGGAUAGAGCCGCUAGAAAUAGUGUGAUUUGCGCCAGUUCGAAUCUGGCUAUAGGAG
rnacentral:tRNA from 1 species